GACGAACGCUGGCGGCGUGCUUAACACAUGCAAGUCGAACGGAAAGGCCCUGCUUUUGUGGGGUGCUCGAGUGGCGAACGGGUGAGUAACACGUGAGUAACCUGCCCUUGACUUUGGGAUAACUUCAGGAAACUGGGGCUAAUACCGGAUAGGAGCUCCUACUGCAUGGUGGGGGUUGGAAAGUUUCUGCGGUUGGGGAUGGACUCGCGGCUUAUCAGCUUGUUGGUGGGGUAGUGGCUUACCAAGGCUUUGACGGGUAGCCGGCCUGAGAGGGUGACCGGCCACAUUGGGACUGAGAUACGGCCCAGACUCCUACGGGAGGCAGCAGUGGGGAAUAUUGCACAAUGGGCGGAAGCCUGAUGCAGCAACGCCGCGUGCGGGAUGACGGCCUUCGGGUUGUAAACCGCUUUCGCCUGUGACGAAGCGUGAGUGACGGUAAUGGGUAAAGAAGCACCGGCUAACUACGUG
rnacentral:rRNA from 1 species